CUGGCUCAGAACGAACGCUGGCGGCAGGCCUAAAACAUGCAAGUUGAACGGCUGUAGCAAUACAGCAGUAGCGCAAGGGUGAGUAAUGUAUGGGAACGUAUCUUUUGGUGGGGAAUAUUCUUUGGAAACGAAGAGCAAUACCGUAUAAGCCCUACGGGGGAAAGAUUUAUCGCCGAUUGAGCGGCCCAUAUUGGAUUAGCUAGUUGGUUAGGUAACGGCUGACCAAGGCUGUGAUCCAUAGCUGGUCUGAGAGGACGAUCAGCCACACUGGGACUGAGACACGGCCCAGACUCCUACGGGAGGCAGCAGUUAGGAAUAUUGGACAAUGGGGGCAACCCUGAUCCAAGCCAUGCCGCGUGAGUGUUAAGGCCUUCGGGUUGUAAAGCUCUUUUGUAUGGGAAAAUGAUGAUGGUACCAUAAGAAUAAGCACCGGCUAACUUCGUGCCAGCAGCAGC
rnacentral:rRNA from 1 species